GUCUACGGCCAUACCACCCUGAACACGCCCGAUCUCGUCUGAUCUCGGAAGCUAAGCAGGGUCGGGCCUGGUUAGUACUUGGAUGGGAAAAGGUGGUAUUCCUGGAAUAGGUUGAAA
rnacentral:rRNA from 1 species